AUGAUCCUACUGAUAUCAUGGUGUGUGUGUGCAGGAGAAGCUGCUGGUGAGUUGUGCAAAAAGAGGGCCAGGCUGUAUGACCAUGUUCCAGAAGCAUUCUCUGCUGACGUUUUGCCCGCAUCUAUGACAGGCAUCCUCAGAAGUUGUGAGGAGCAGCUUGAGAAACUGCAAGUCGCUUCUGGUGUGAGAGAACUGGCCAUCUGCAAGGACGUUGCCCAGGGGACGCCUGGAUGUUUUGAUGUUUUUACCAUCCUUCUGGAAGGCUUCUCUCAUUUCCCCGCAUGGAGCUGGAGCUGAUAGAGGGAGCUCAUCCACGCUCUCCCCCGGUUGGAUUCGAACCUUUAGGUCAGCAACCCAACCUUCAAGUUAUCAGUCCUGCCGGCAAAAGGGUUUAACUCACUGCACCACAGGGGUUCCAACAGGAUGCCAAUGUGAGUUUGGAACAGAUGUGGAAUGGAAGAAGCCAAGGGGAAAAAACUUUUAGUACAGCAGUGUUAUUAUGGUGUCAACAUGGUUGUUAUCCACGGAAGUUGUAGUCCUAUACAUUUAGUGGACACAAUCUUUGGGAAGACAGAGAGACCAAAUGGGCACAUGUUUCAUCAUAGGUCUGUGUUUUCUCUGUAUCAAAACCACAAUGUAAUGUUUAACUGAGACAGAGGUUCCCACAUUUUUAUUUUCAGGCGAUUCAUGUUGAAAACGGCACAUUUAAUAUGCUGAGCAGCUAAGCAAAGUAGAUCAAAAUGAAAAGUGUUUUCUUGGAUUGUCUCAUACAUCGUAACCUAAAGAAGUUACUGAGCCUGAGAAACACAGGGACAAUACAGUCUAGGCUCAGGAAGACUCCCUAACCAAAUUCUUUUGUUUACACUCCAGAAACCUUCCCCACUCUCCUGCCAGCUCUUAUGACUCACUUCAAGACUGGGCAAGAGGCCUGUGUGGAGCUCUUACCAGUCACAUGGGCUCAGCCAGGCUCACAGGGAGCAUAGUCCAGCCAGCUUGGAGACUUCCAGAUC
rnacentral:lncRNA from 1 species